GCUGCCGCCUUUUGUCCGCUGCGCUCCCGGCAGAGUGAGACCCCGAUCCCGCGUCGUCAGACGGCGUUAAGGCAACCCCUCCGGCCAUGAGGGUGCUGGAAACGUGGUCUUGAUGUUUAUAGACAGAGCAGAAUUAAAUGGGACGUUUUCCUCGUUUGAGAAAGUUGUGGCCUGAGAGAAUGACUGGUGUGAUCGUGAGGGAUGGAUCCAUGAGGGCUGGUAAGCCAUGGGUCUCACACCUGGUCUGUGAGAAGAGCUGCAAGGUGGAACCUCUCAGCCAUUGUCUCUUUGAAAAGGCACGGCAGGUGAUGCUUUUCCUGGCUGGACCCUGUGUGAAAUGCUGUUGGGAGAUGGCAAAGGAAAGGUGCCUGCUUAUUCAGAUAACACUCGUGAGGGAUAAUCAGGAAGGGGAGCAGUGAGCAUGACCAAUGUGAGGACACUGCUACAAUGAGAAGCAGCUGCAGGGGAGGACUUAAUCAAAGCAAUAAAACAUGCUGUGGUGCUGUUAGCAUUGUGUUUUGCUGAGGAGAAAAUGGAGCUACUGCUCUCAUUUUGUGUGCUAAGGAAGAAGAAGAGAGAGGUUGGUGGUGAUGACUGCAGAGUAGGCUGAUCCUCAGCACUUUCCUACAGAAUUCUUGUUCGUGGAGGUUACUGAAGAUUACUGCUUCAGGAGAAGCUGAUGUACCUACUUUUCUCUGACUGUGAAAGGAAGAGACCAGUUCAGACACAAAUCCCUCAGAGUGGCUCCAUUCUGAUUUGUCUCAAUUCCCAGUCUGGAUAACUGGAUUUUCUAUCAUCUCUUCAUAUCUGGGGCAAACUUUAGCCUGGUAUUUUCUUGGCUUAUAAAUGUGUGAACCUCUGGAAUCUGUUUCCCCUUUUCAGAAGAGUGUUCCAUAUCCUUGUUGUGAAGUAGCUUGUAAUGAUUUCAAUCUGCAAUCAGAAGGCAGUAACAAUUUUUAGUAUAGCAAAAUGACUGAAACAAACAGAAAACAGAGAAAAUAGA